rnacentral:rRNA from 1 species
AGUGAACGCUGGCGGUAGGCCUAACACAUGCAAGUCGAACGGCAGCACAGUAAGAGCUUGCUCUUACGGGUGGCGAGUGGCGGACGGGUGAGGAAUACAUCGGAAUCUACUUUUUCGUGGGGGAUAACGUAGGGAAACUUACGCUAAUACCGCAUACGACCUACGGGUGAAGGCAGGGGAUCUUCGGACCUUGCGCGAUUGAAUGAGCCGAUGUCGGAUUAGCUAGUUGGCGGGGUAAAGGCCCACCAAGGCGACGAUCCGUAGCUGGUCUGAGAGGAUGAUCAGCCACACUGGAACUGAGACACGGUCCAGACUCCUACGGGAGGCAGCAGUGGGGAAUAUUGGACAAUGGGCGCAAGCCUGAUCCAGCCAUACCGCGUGGGUGAAGAAGGCCUUCGGGUUGUAAAGCCCUUUUGUUGGGAAAGAAAAGCAGCAGGUUAAUACCCCGCUGUUCUGACGGUACCAAAAGAAUAAGCACCGGCUAACUUCGUG